UACAGAGGGUGCGAGCGUUAAUCGGAAUUACUGGGCGUAAAGGGUGCGUAGGUGGUUUGAUAAGUUAGGUGUGAAAGUCCCGGGCUUAACCUGGGGAUUGCGCCUGAUACUGUCAGACUAGAGUACUGUAGAGGAAAGUGGAAUUUCCGGUGUAGCGGUGAAAUGCGUAGAGAUCCGGAGGAACACCAGUGGCGAAGGCGACACGCUGGGCCGUACCUGACGCUAAAGCGCGACAGCAUGGGGAGCAAACGGG
rnacentral:rRNA from 1 species